GAUGAACGCUGGCGGCGUGCCUAAUACAUGCAAGUCGAGCGAACAGACGAGGAGCUUGCUCCUCUGACGUUAGCGGCGGACGGGUGAGUAACGCGUGGAUAACCUACCUAUAAGACUGGGAUAACUUCGGGAAACCGGAGCUAAUACCGGAUAAUAUAUUGAACCGCAUGGUUCAAUAGUGAAAGACGGUUUUGCUGUCACUUAUAGAUGGAUCCGCGCCGCAUUAGCUAGUUGGUAAGGUAACGGCUUACCAAGGCAACGAUGCGUAGCCGACCUGAGAGGGUGAUCGGCCACACUGGAACUGAGACACGGUCCAGACUCCUACGGGAGGCAGCAGUAGGGAAUCUUCCGCAAUGGGCGAAAGCCUGACGGAGCAACGCCGCGUGAGUGAUGAAGGUCUUCGGAUCGUAAAACUCUGUUAUUAGGGAAGAAUAAAUGUGUAAGUAACUAUGCACGUCUUGACGGUACCUAAUCAGAAAGCCACGGCUAACUACGUG
rnacentral:rRNA from 1 species